CUUUAUUGGAGAGUUUGAUCCUGGCUCAGGAUGAACGCUGGCGGCGUGCCUAAUACAUGCAAGUCGAGCGAAUGGAUUAAGAGCUUGCUCUUAUGAAGUUAGCGGCGGAC
rnacentral:rRNA from 3 species